rnacentral:rRNA from 1 species
UCCACGCCGUAAACGAUGUCUACUAGCCGUUGGGAGACUUGAUCUCUUAGUGGCGCAGUUAACGCGAUAAGUAGACCGCCUGGGGAGUACGGCCGCAAGGUUAAAACUCAAAUGAAUUGACGGGGGCCCGCACAAGCGGUGGAGCAUGUGGUUUAAUUCGACGCAACGCGAAGAACCUUACCAGGUCUUGACAUCCUAGAAACUUAGCAGAGAUGCUUUGGUGCCUUCGGGAAUCUAGUGACAGGUGCUGCAUGGCUGUCGUCAGCUCGUGUCGUGAGAUGGUUGGGUUAAGUCCCG